UACGUAGGGGGCGAGCGUUAUCCGGAUUCACUGGGUGUAAAGGGAGCGUAGACGGCCAAGCAAGCCAGGGGUGAAAGCCCGGGGCCCGACCCCGGGACUGCCCUUGGAACUGCAUGGCUGGAGUGCGGGAGGGGCAGGCGGAAUUCCUGGCGUAGCGGUGAAAUGCUUAGAGAUCAUACAGAACACCGAUUGCGAAGGCAGCUUACCAAACUAUAUCUGACGUUGAGGCACGAAAGCGUGGGUAGCAAACAGG
rnacentral:rRNA from 1 species